UCUCACGGUCAUAACACUGCGUAAAAGCCUGAUAUCUUCAGAUCUCUGAAGCUAAGUAAGGCCGGGCCUGGUUAGUACUUGGAUGGCAGACUCCUGUGAAUACCAGAUGCCACAGUGUGCA
rnacentral:rRNA from 1 species